rnacentral:rRNA from 1 species
AUGGCCGCCGCCGAUGCGUCUCCGCACCACCAGGACGCUCGACGACUGCUCGCAGAGCACAACAAUCUCUCCGCGAAACCGGGCCUCCCGGUAGACGCAAGGGUCGUCGUCCGACCACAAGAGCAGCCUGGAACCACCGCCGUCCUGAUGGAUGCCGAUGGAGAACCCUUGUGCCCCUGCUGGCCCACGUGCUGCUAG